UGGUGGAGUGAUUUGUCUGGUUAAUUCCGUUAACGAACGAGACCGCUGCCUGCUAAAUAGACCCAUGAGUGUUCCAUACUGAUGUGGUCUUCUUAGAGGGACGUGCAUUCUAUUAGAUGCAGGAGGAUAGCGGCAAUAACA
rnacentral:rRNA from 1 species